AGCAGCAGCCACGGUAAUACGUAGGUGGCAAGCGUUGUCCGGAAUUAUUGGGCGUAAGGGCUCGCAGGCGGUUUCUUAAGUCUGAUGUGAAAGCCCCCGGCUCAACCGGGGAGGGUCAUUGGAAACUGGGAAACUUGAGUGCAGAAGAGGAGAGUGGAAUUCCACGUGUAGCGGUGAAAUGCGUAGAGAUGUGGAGGAACACCAGUGGCGAAGGCGACUCUCUGGUCUGUAACUGACGCUGAGGAGCGAAAGCGUGGGGAGCGAACAGGAUUAGAGACCCCCGUAGUCCCUGUCUCUUAUACA
rnacentral:rRNA from 1 species